rnacentral:sRNA from 1 species
UAUACGACUUUUAGAA